rnacentral:lncRNA from 1 species
GGACAUAAAGAGGGCAAAGGAGUUAAGAGAAGAAAUGGGUUGAUAGGGAUGGUACGGACGGAUAGGCCGUACCAUUGGCCGUACAAAGGUAAAAGCGGCCAAGUAACUCUCCGGGUAACUUACAUGGACUGACUUGAAGUUACACUUGACCAAGACCUUAUCCGAACGUUGGAGAGGAUAAGGGAGGCGCGGCUUGACAGCUAGGACAGGCUGGCAAGAGCUGGAAAGGAAGAGCACCUAGUCUUUGAUCAAGAAGAUGCUUCAAACGUGUGGAGACUAUCAUUGGCCGGUUCAAACUAAAGCACCAGCUCCUCUUUGACUCUACAUGUUUGCUUAUCCUUAUGAUUUCGAAAACCCUAAUGUGUAUGGACCUAUAUAUAUUGUGAGCUCAUCAUUAAUAAGAAU